rnacentral:misc_RNA from 1 species
ACAAACUUGGUCAUUUAGAGGAAGUAAAAGUCGUAACAAGGUUUCCGUAGGUGAACCUGCGGAAGGAUCAUUAUCAAAUAGGCCGGAGGGCAACCUCCAGCGUCUAUAUCCCCUGAUUACCUUACUCUGUUGCUUUGGCGGACCGGGCUUCUGCCCCGGCGGUCAGGCGCCUAGCCUGCCUGCCGAGCGUCCGCCGAAGACCCAACCAAACCCCUUUGAAACUAAUGCUGUCUGAAUACAAAAACAAAUAGCUAAAACUUUCAACAACGGAUCUCUUGGUUCUGGCAUCGAUGAAGAACGCAGC